AGAGUCACUCCUACGGGAGGCAGCAGUGGGGAAUAUUGGACAAUGGGCGAAAGCCUGAUCCAGCGACGCCGCGUGUGUGAAGAAGGCCUGCGGGUUGUAAAGCACUUUUAGUGGGGAUGAAAAGCCUAGGGCUAAUACCUCUGGGUCUUGACCUAACCCACAGAAAAAGCACCGGCUAACUCUGUGCCAGCAGCCGCGGUAAUACAGAGGGUGCGAGCGUUAAUCGGAAUUACUGGGCGUAAAGCGUGCGUAGACGGUUGCGUAAGUCAGAUGUGAAAGCCCCGGGCUCAACCUGGGAAUUGCAUUUGAGACUGCGUAGCUAGGGUACGGAAGAGGGAAGCGGAAUUUCCGGUGUAGCGGUGAAAUGCGUAGAUAUCGGAAGGAACACCAGUGGCGAAAGCGGCUUCCUGGUCCAGUACCGACGUUCAGGCACGAAAGCGUGGGGAGCAAACAGGAUUAGAUACCCUGGUAGUCCACGCCAUAAACGAUGAGGACUAGACGUUGAGAGGGUAAGCCUCCCAGUGUCGCAGCUAACGCGAUAAGUCCUCCGCCUGGGGAGUACGGCCGCAAGGUUGAAACUUAAAGGAAUUGACG
rnacentral:rRNA from 1 species